rnacentral:rRNA from 1 species
CCUGCAUGAAGGCGGAAUUGCUAGUAAUCGCGAAUCAGAAUGUCGCGGUGAAUACGUUCCCGGGCCUUGUACACACCGCCCGUCACACCAUGAGAGUCGAUAACACCCGAAGCCUGUGAGCUAACCUUAGGGAGGCAGCAGUCGAAGGUGGGGUUGAUGAUUAGGGUGAAGUCGUAACAAGGUAUC